CACACUCCAAGCUCAGCUUGAUGUUGGACGGCGCGGUCCUUUUGGGGCCGCACGUCUGGAACGCGUGGGCGUCCGGUCUGUCGAGACACCGCGGGCGUAGCAAGGCUUUUUGACGAGGGCAUCUUCGGGUGUGUUCGUCUCUCACGUCAUUUCGCUCCGACGGGACUCCAGCGGACGGUCUCUCUUUUUACUCAUCUAUCAAGA
rnacentral:misc_RNA from 1 species